rnacentral:lncRNA from 1 species
AUGGAAGUGUAGGGUUUAUGAAUUAUUGCAGCUGACUACCAUACCUCACACAGCGUUGGUGUUGUGAGCGGCCCAUGAAAAGCCAAAUUAGAAAUCAAGGAUUCAGUCAAACUAAGCAGGUAUUCAUGCCAGGUACUCCUUUCUCUACCCACAUCCGUGUUUGAAUGCUAUUGCCUGUGACCUUUACGCUUAACUGUUGUGUAUCCUUUUUGUUCUUUACAAGAAGCACAGAGGGGUUUUUUGUGUAUUGCGUGAAAUCUUACAAAGCCUAUGUUAACAGAAUGGAAUUUUUUUUCAACUGUGUGUAGGGAUGCAGUGGUGCCCAGAAUUAGAUAUCUUUAAAGAAUUUUAAAUACAAUAAACACUUCAUAUUACCCGCCUUGUUACAUUCAGUGCAAUUCUCAAGUCUUUAAGAGGUAUGUGUUUAAUGUUUCCUACUGUGUAGGAGAAUUUGCAGUCAGCCAUAGUAUAGAGGAAUAAUCACUGGCUGAGACAUCGAAAGCAACAGCAUCUAGCCAGGACAGACACUUGGAUCAGUGACACAAAGAACUGAUUGACUAUCAGAUGAGGUUGGGUUCUUAAAGAACUGUUUCAAGCUAGGUUUUAUAGAUAUUCUUAAAACCUCUAACUGUUCAAUCUUCGGGCUAGUGGUGUGGGAUGAAAUAUUCCUAAUGAAAGGAAGUACCAAUUAGUUGAUUUAUUGGUGGCAUUCCUGUUUUAGAAAAGCAGUGUAGUUCUGUCUGUGUGAACCAUUCACUCAUAGGCAGCACACACAGGCACAUGGCUCUAAGCACCACACUGAUUGAUUGAUGCCUUGAUGUAAAAACAGUACAUUUUAUAUACACGUGUCAUGGUUAGCAGUUAGCGACUGGGCCAACACUUAGUCAUAAAAGUUUACCUUUUAUAUGCUGUCUAAUUAUCAAUUUUCCCCAAAUUUUGCAUUGUAGGACUACUGUUGAAGAGUUUUUGAAGAAUACUGAAAACGGAAUAAAGUGAAGAUCAACAUUAAAAUGAGGUGAAAGAAAGCUAUAGUGGCAUAGAAAAAGUAUAAAGCUCAGUUAGUUAUUUGGUUUUUUUAUUAUUAUUAUUAAAAAUUAAUUCAGGACUGUUGUGACCUACCAGAUUUCAGAACAUGUGUUAAUAGCACAUAUGCCACUUUGAAAACUUAGGUCCUGUAUCAUAUUUUUUCUUUAAGACUUUUUAAGAAAUAUUACCUAAACAUGUGGCUUGCUCAGUGUUUACUUGCAAGUUUUCAGUCUUGGACUUUGAAGCCAGGAUUCCACGUUAGUGCUCAUGUGGAGCAGACUGGGGCUCCGUUUUACACUUGUGCUCUCCUUAGCCUUUGGAUUUAGAAGUGAAAAUAAAGUAUCUCUGACUUCCUGUUGCAGAGUUGAUUGUCUGUGUCAUUGAAAGGCUCAGUGCUGCUCUCUUCCAAUAAAGUGACGACUCCAAC